rnacentral:misc_RNA from 1 species
GAUGAAGAACGCAGCGAAAUGCGAUACGUAAUGUGAAUUGCAGAAUUCAGUGAAUCAUCGAGUCUUUGAACGCACAUUGCGCCCCCUGGUAUUCCGGGGGGCAUGCCUGUCCGAGCGUCAUUGCUGCCCUCAAGCACGGCUUGUGUGUUGGGCCUCCGUCCUCCUCCCGGGGGACGGGCCCGAAAGGCAGCGGCGGCUCCGCGUCCGGUCCUCGAGCGUAUGGGGCUUCGUCACCCGCUCUUGUAGGCCCGGCCGGCGCUUGCCGACACAUCAAUCUUUUUUCCAGGUUGACCUCGGAUCAGGUAGGGAUACCCGCUGAACUUAAGCAUAUCAAUAAGCGGAGGA